UCAGCUAUCACAAGAGAAGAAGCACGUCGACUGACACCGACAAACCAACGAGUGAUGAGUCUGUGUGGAGUUGUGCUGCUGUGUAUUGUGUGUAUCCAUCAAGUGCGCAGCAGUGAGGAAGACAUCACUGGUUACAGUGGCCAAUCAGUCGUCCUGUAAUCAGGAGCAGACAGAUCAUGGAACCUCAGCAGAGUUCAGUGGUCCAUUUAUCAGAACACCACAUUCAUUGCAGGUCUUAAGAAUGGUGAAGUGAUUAUUUACAAGUUUUGGAGACAUCAGGGUCGACUUGAGAUCAACAUUAAAACGGGAGAUUUAACAAUCCGUAAUGUGACCGUGGAUGACAGCAUGACAUACAAUGUGGCUUUGGUCACCUCAGAUGGCGGGCGGAGCCAAUCUAAAGUUCGUCUCACAGUUCGAGAAAGUCUCAAGACACCAGACAUCCAGACGACGCUUCAUUCCCUCAUUGACAACAAGUGCUACAUUGCCCUUGAGUGCAUUGCAUCUGGC